rnacentral:rRNA from 1 species
AUUGAACGCUGGCGGCAUGCCUAACACAUGCAAGUCGAGCGGAUGAAGGGUGCUUUCUCCUGGAUUCAGCGUCGGACGGGUGUGUAAUGCCUAGGAAUCUGCUUGGUAGUGGGGUGUAACGUCCGGAAACGGGCGCUAAUACCGCAUACGUCCUGAGGGUGAAAGUGGGGGGGCGUCGGACCUUACGCUAUGUGAUGAGCCUAGGGCGGACUAGCUAGUUGGUGGGGUGAAGGCCUACCAAGGCGACGAUCCGUAACUGGUCUGAGAGGAUGGUCAGUCACACUGGAACUGAGACACGGUCCAGACUACUACGGGAGGGAGCAGUGGGGAAUAUUGGACAAUGGGCGAAAGCAUGAUCCAGCCAUGCGGCGUGUGUGAAGAAGGUCUUCGGAUUGUAAAGCACUUUAAGUUGGGAGGAAGGGCAGUAAGUUAAUACCUUGCUGUUUUGACGUUACCAACAGAAUAAGCACCGGCUAACUUCGUG